UAUGAUCUUACCCAACCCUAUUUUUAAUUCCUUUUGACAGAUAUCAUGUCUUUCAUUUCUUUUCUUUGUUUAGGGUGAACCUGGUGAAUCUGGACGGCCCGGACAAAAGGGUGAACCAGGUCUUCCUGGGCUUCCUGGACUCCCUGGGAUAAAGCAUGGGCCUGUGCAUACCUCAGGAGAUGAUUUAUAUUGCUUUUCCAACAAAAAGAGGGAUAAGCCAAAGGCCAAACUUCUGUCUGUUUCGAUAGGAUUCGGUAUCUAUCUUAUGGAAUGCAAUAUUUACAGUGGUUUUCUCAAAGGACUUGUGAAUUGCCACAACGUUCAUGCAUAAUGUCCUUUCUGUGUUUCUAGU
rnacentral:lncRNA from 1 species